rnacentral:rRNA from 1 species
CCUCAGAUCAGGUAGGAAUACCCGCUGAACUUAAGCAUAUCAAUAAGCGGAGGAAAAGAAACAACAGGGAUUGCCUCAGUAACGGCGAGUGAAGCGGCAACAGCUCAAAUUUGAAAUCUGGCCUCUGGCCCGAGUUGUAAUUUGCAGAGGAUGUUUCUGGCGAGGUGCCUUCCGAGUUCCCUGGAACGGGACGCCAUAGAGGGUGAGAGCCCCGUACGGUUGGUCGCUAAGCCUCUGUGAAACUCCUUCGACGAGUCGAGUAGUUUGGGAAUGCUGCUCUAAAUGGGAGGUGUACGCCUUCUAAAGCUAAAUAUAGGCUAGAGACCGAUAGCGCACAAGUAGAGUGAUCGAAAGAUGAAAAGCACUUUGAAAAGAGGGUUAAAUAGUACGUGAAAUUGUUGAAAGGGAAGCGCUCUUGACCAGACUUGCGCCGGUUGAUCAUCCACCGUUCUCGGUGGUGCACUCUGCCGGCUCAGGCCAGCAUCAGUUCGGCUUGGGGGAUAAAGGCUUCGGGAAUGUGGCUCUCUCCGGGGAGUGUUAUAGCCCGUUGCGUAAUACCCUGGGCCGGACUGAGGUUCGCGCAUCUGCAUGGAUGCUGGCGUAAUGGUCAUCAGUGACCCGUCUUGAAACACGGACCAAGGAGUCGUCUUCGUAUGCGAGUGUUCGGGUGUCAAACCCCUACGCGUAAUGAAAGUGAACGUAGGAGAGAGCUUCGGCGCAUCUCCGACCGAUCCUGAUGUUCUCGGAUGGAUUUGAGUAAGAGCAUACGGGGCCGGACCCGAAAGAAGGUGAACUAUGCCUGUAUAGGGUGAAGCCAGAGGAAACUCUGGUGGAGGCUCGCAGCGGUUCUGACGUGCAAAUCGAUCGUCAAAUAUGGGCAUGGGGGCGAAAGACUAAUCGAACCUUCUAGUAGCUG